CUCUGAGUCCCGUGGUGCUUUAAGCCGCCGGCUGAGAAUUGAGAAGGCUGAGGAAGUCCAGGGCUGAGAGAGGGCCCCGCCCCCACCCCACGUGGCUUUGGCUGGAUGGAAGCUGCAGUUCCGACUCUACCCUCCUCUCUCCAGCUCUAUCAAUGGCAGCAACAUGAAUAUUAAUGAGAGGAAUUAAUACACAUUUCCCGGAAAAGGUCAAGGAAAACAGAACCACAAAAGACUGAGCACAAUUAGUGUGCUCGGUGUUUGGUAAACAUUGUUUCAUUAAAUCCAGACGAUGUAGCACUCAGAGGUCAAACUACUGUGGGCAUCAGGAAAACAUAACUAAGAGCAAUCCGAUUUAUGCACAGCCUGCGGUGGGGCCUCAUUACAACACAACCCCUGAUCCCUGUACUUCUGAAUGCCUGAUAGAAGAUCAGCUUUACAACAGAGAAUGAAGACCUUUUUCCUUGGAGUCCCAGAACUCCAAGUCAAACAUUUACGA